UUAUAUAUUUGAAUAUCAGUUCCAGCUAUUUGUUGAAAUCCCAGUGAUAAAGAAAUUAAUGUACUCAUGAUUAGGUUGAACCAGUUAGAAACUUGCACAAAGCUUUGAAGUUAAUAAUUUAAACUUAAGAAGAUUGCAAACUCUAAUACAUGAUUAUGUAUGCCCCGUAUCUCUGUCUUUCCACAGAACAUAGAUAUUUCCACAUGCAUCAAAACCUUAGUUGUAUGCCUCAAAGGAACCUUCUUACAAUCGUACCUCUUUAUUUGCAUGCAUUAGAUAUGCUCAUAUAAGCCUACUCACAUGUGUGUUGUUCAGUAGGAGAAAUAGCAGUCUUGACCAAAUGCUAACAAGUCUAGGGUAUCAUAAACUUCCACGGAUGUUGAGAAUCUUUACUGAAAUUUAGAAAAGCUUGCUCUUCUCCCAGGAUUUCCUAGCAGUGUAUUCAAUUCUAAAACUCCAAAGUCGACUUCCAAUGUUUGUCAGAGCAUGCAGUCGAUCCUGGAAUUCACGGUACCAUUUCCCUGCAAGAACUUAAUUCUCAGGGAAAGAUAAUAACUCUUUUCAUGCACUCCAGUUUUUGAUUUUCUAUCCUUUUUUACUGCAAGAAAUUUUCAACUGCAUUUUUACACUGUUUGUUAACUUUCUUUUCCCCUCUUCCUUUUCUACAGAUUACUCCCUUAUCUCACUUCUAUGGAAAAAAAAAAAAAAUUGACCUGCCAUUGUUCACACAUGAGAAACAAGAUGCCUUUGUCUAUUGUUAGUUUUGUCUUGCUCUUUUAUCCCUAAAAGAGGCAUUGAGUAUUUUCUGAAAUUUUUAUAUGUUGUGCUGUUAUUUAAAAUGGUUUUUGAAACCUUUUUACUCACACAAGCGAGCAAUAUAUGCAACAGUUUUGUCUCUGUCUUAUUGUGUUAAGGUUGAGUCCAAAGAUCACUAUUUAGUCCUUUCCUUUUUUGUUUAUGUCUAUUUCCUUUGUGAUGUUGCUGUUCUUUAAUACCUUAUUCACUGCCUCUAGCUUUCAUGUUGCAGAUUGAUCAUGAUUAUAAAUGGGAUGUUCCUUUGAAAAUAAAAUUACUUAAGUGAUGAUUGUACUUGGUUUUGCAUGUUCUUUGCAAACUUUGAAUCUAAGGACGGCUGCACUCCACUUUGGUCAUGUACUUUUCAAAAUUUACAUACUUAUUGUUGUUAUUCUUGCGUCUUCCCUUAAAAUAUAUUCCCAUACUUUUCUUGAUAGCAACAAAGAAGUUUACGAGGGAUUGAAACACAGAAUACUGUGAGUUCAAAAUUGGAGUCCUGAUUUUGGACCAGUGUCAUCAUUUGUCUGCUUCAAAAUUUUUGUAUAUUGCUCAGCUCAAUUCCAGCUUCAGUGUUCCCGAAGUUUUUCUUGAACAGGUGUGAGUCCAUUCAGUUGGAUGAUCAAGCAUAGACUCGUCUUCAUCUGGAGUCAGUAGUGGUUUCAAAAUGAGGAGGUUUCGGCUCCAAGAUCCACUCCACUAGUGUUCCUUCACACACUUAGGCGGGAAGUGAGAUCAAGGAAGGUGUCUUCACUGCAAGGAAUUGUGAGACCACCCAUUGGAUGAUCGUAUCCAAAUUCUUCUUCAGCUUGACUCAGCAAAUCCAGGAACAGAGGCAACCGGAAUCCCAUGGUUUUUAUUUGAGUUGAAGAAAGCGGAAAAGAGUUUGACGGACUUGGGAAACAGAGAAGGUUUUUAAUUCAAGGCAAGGAGAAUACUUAACUUCCUGAUCUCAAAUAAUCGGUUUAUACAUAGAGGAAGAAAGGGUCUGUGAACAAUCUUUGAAUGAGUGGCGAAGACACACUAUCUGUUUGCUACAUAAAAUGGGUGGCGAAGAUGCGCACCAGUGAGGGAUAGUAGCUUGUGAAAAAUCAAGAGAUCACAUGUGUAUGUCUUGCCAUUGAUGAAGUCUAUUGUAGAAACAUCCUUCCCUACCUCAUUGCACGAGAAACACACAGUGGACCUUCAUAUGUGAAAUUUCUAUCUAAGAAAAUGACUUCAGACGUGGAUUUCUACCCAGCACUGAUAAUUGGAGUUGCUCUACAGACAAGAAUAUGUGGUACUAUAUUAACAGUUAUAUAUGUGGUCAGAUAUAAAUGAUGCUAUGUACUGGGAGCAAGAAAGCUAGGUUAGCAUGUGGCUUAGUUGUUUCAUCUAUGUCUCCAGUGUCAACAGGCUGAGGAAGUGUUUCAAUUUUUGAUCAGUCUAGAUAAUUAAAUAGACUUCCAACCAUGACCAGAAAACCCAACAGGAACUACAAACAAUAUGACUGUUUUUCGAACAUAUGAGUUGAAAUGGACAUGAACUUUCCAGGUAUCUUGAUGACCAAAGACACAAACGUGAACAAGACAACUUCAGACUUGCAGAAGUAUCCCCUCAACAGAAGAUGUGAGUCUAUACCAUUGAUGCUCAACACUUGCCUCUUCUUCAUCUUGACUCAGCAGCGAGUGCUGAAAUGAGGAUGGUUUGUGAUCUCAGGUUCAAAUCAGAAGCAUUCAUUCACACACUUAAGCGGGAAGUAAGGUCAAGGAAGGUGUCUUCACUGCAAGGAAUGGUGAUACCGCCCAUUGGAUGAUUGUAUCCAGAUUCUUCUUCAGCUUGACUCAACAAAUCCAGAAAUAAAGGGUGGUUCAGAAAAGAGAUUGGAAUCACAAAUCGCUUCUUCUGACUCUCUCCCACAUAUACUGCAAAAAAGCCUUUUGGGGUUGAAGUUGUUUUAGCAAUUCCAGGAAAGCGGAAACCCAUGAUUUCUAUAUUCCCAAGCGAAGGAGGAAGAAUUUUAAGGACUUGAAAAAAAGAGAAAGCUGUGAUGCUUAGCAAGGAGAAGGUUUGAGUUGCUCAUGAACCUGACCAUGCCUGUGUGUGUAUAUAGCUGUUAGGGUGUGUGGAAACUCAUCUUGUACAUGAAUGAUUGGUGAAGAGGCACUGAGGUAGGGAAACUAGGUUGUGAGAAACCACGUGGGUUUGUCUUCCUACUCAAGUUCUUCAUCCCUCAAGGACAUUUCACAUGCAAAGGAUACCAAACUGUAUCCCUAUGUUGAUACAUGAUUCCCUACAUUAAAUGAAUUAAGAAUCUCCAUCAGUUAUUUGAUAGAUGAAAUGAGUGGUGAAGAUGGCAGUAGUUGGGGACACAAGUGGGCGAGAAAUCAAGGAAUACAUGGUUUGUCAUGUCCUUCACGUUGAUUUUGCAUAUGCUAGUGUUCCAAAAUCUAUGGUUUUGUAGAAACAUCUAUCCCUACCUCCUUUACAUAUAUAACAACGGGCUCAUUAACUGGUGUUCCUUCACAGACAGAAAUUUCUGGUGCUGCUAUAAUAGUUUUACGAUGGGUCCGGAACAUAAAGGGCUGAGCAUCUGCUUUCCUGUGUCAUAUAUGAUCCAUUCAUCUAUAGUAUCACCAAGCUAAGGAGGUCUGUCAUUUUACUUGGUCAAAUCUAUAACAUUCACUUGGUCAAGCUUGACAAGAAAACCGUACAGGCAUUCAGUUUCAAGGACCAAAUGAGGAACCCUGGUGCAUAAAGAUAUUAGAUUGAACUCAAUGUUUACUUUGUCAUUUAUGUUAGAUUCUUUGCAACUCUCUUGCGGUAAUAAAAUAGGGUUACAGUCAGGUUGUCUUCUGUACUGUGGAGUCUAAUGCUUGAAUAGUGGUUUUCGGCUUUGCUUGUCUGAUGAGGUUAAAGUAGAUCUCAAUCAUAUUGACAUUGUAAUUCAUAUAGCCAAGUUUGUUUAGGGUGUCAUUCUUGGGUGGUUUGGUCGUUGGUUUGUUUCACCGAGAAGGAAAGACAAUGGGUUUUGAUUUUUCAGUGGAUAUUCCGCUGUUGUAACCGGUGUUGUUCGAGGUUGAUAAAAUCUAGGUAGUCAAAUGAAGAAAGUGGGACGUUCCAAUAGAAUGGUUCCAAGAAUAUCUAUGCCUUGGAAGGUGUUAUAGCACUUACCUUCUUAUACUCUUUAACUGAUUAGUGCUUGUGCUGACACACUACUAUAAGGACAGAAGAUCAGGAAGCCCUUGCCAAACUCUCAUGUUUUCUGACGAUCAUGGCGGUGCUGAUCGGAGGGGAGGCUAAUGCUGCUGCUCCUCCAGUCAGCAUUUGAAGUACUACAACUUGAUCAGAGCAAAACACAAAAAUGGCAGAUGCAAAUUCAACUACUACAACUUGAUCAGAGAUAUGGAAAUGUCAGUACCAGGGAUCGUUCAUCAGAUACAAGAGCAUGUUGGGGAGCUGGAUCUCAUGGAGGACCAGGUGAAUGACUUGAUUAAUGCCGCUCGGCGACUUGGUUACCAAGAAAAGUAUUUUAUGUGGUACUGUUAUCACUGCAUAAAUGAAGUUCCCUUAGUGGAAAUUAUGGAGUUUGAUUUAGAGCUUAGGAAACUGUCUCACUGCCUGCAUAUGCAUCGAAUGUGUGGUACUAGCAUAGGUCAACAAAUUUAAGAUUUUAGGCAGAACAAGUAUGGAAUAGGCAGACAGAAAUAGAUUUGGUGUCGGCAACUGAAACAGUUUUUGUUUUCUGUUUUUCAUUCUUUUCAAUUGAAUUUUGUUUAUGGAUGUCUGUGAGUCUGCAGAUAAUGUAAACAGAAGAUGAACUGGUCAAAAUUUUGGAGUUAUUACUUCAGAAUUUGUUUAAUUUUGGUUAAUAUAAUGACAGUUUCUAUUA